CUUGGAUACACUGCAAGAGACAAUAACAGACAAUGAAAUAGAAACCUACCAAGAAACCUGAGGCCUCCAAAAGAUCCAGGAUUUUGGGAUUCCAAACAGAGCUGUCCUAUCUACAGGUAGAACAAGUCUUGUGGCUCACUGCAGGGCAGCAGAGUUGCUGAGUGGAGUUAAGCCUGGCAUGUGCAGGCCUAGAAGCCAGAGAACAGCCAACCUUCAGCGAAGACACCGUACACUGGGUAGUUGUCAAAGAAACAGAGUCACCCAGGCUGGAGCACAGUGGUGUAAUCACAGCUGACAGCAUCCUCGACCUCCCUGCUCAAUCAAUCCUCCCACCUCAGCCUCCUAAGUAGCUGGGACUACAGGUGCAUGCCACCACGCCUAGCUAAUUUUUGUAUUUGUUGUAGAGACAGGAGUCUCACCAUGUUGCCCAGGCUGGUCUCAAACUCCUGGGCUGAAGGGAACUGUCCGCCUCAGCCUCCCAUAGUGCUGGAAUUACAGGCAUGAGCCAUCGCACUUAACCAAAAGUCAUACCUUUUUACAAAAUAUAUCCUGAAAUUUAUUUGAAUCUGGCAGUUAUGUAGGAAUUUUUUAUGCUACAUGGAUAGCAACUCAUUGGUUUGAAUUGUCAUCUUUAUCAUAUUUCACAUUCUUUAUGUACAUGGUUUUAUUUCUUGAUUGUAUUCUGUUUUACUCACAGGUUUAUUCCUGUAGCAAUAAAAACUAUGCUAAUUUGUAAAUAUUUUAUAAAAUUUCUGAAUUAUGAUCUUAUUAUAUUAUUUUGUUUUAAUGUUAUAUAUUGAUAUACAAGACAAUUUUUCAUGUCUGUACAUUAAUUUUUUAAAAAUCUUCCAAAUCCUAUUAUUUCUAAUAGUCUUUCAGUUGAUUUUCAGUUUAUUUCUUUGGAACUUAAGAUACAAAUCAAAAAUAAAUGUAUUGUCAUCACCCUCUAAUAUUAUAAAAGCACAUCAUGUUUGUAACAGCCUUUAACUGUCUAGUGAUAGAAACCUUGAUAUCUCAGUAUUUGAUAACUUACUUUAGGGCAUUGAUUACAUAAUUCACUUCUUUUGUAUUCCGAAUUGCAUCCACCACAGAGCUGAAUAUACAUAGAUACC
rnacentral:lncRNA from 10 species